GAGGAUGUGAAUGGGGUGGGGGCAGUCGCCCCUGUCCCCCACCCUUCCCUUCAAGCCGGGCAGGGGUGGGGGGAGGGGCCGGGCUGAGGCGGCGGCGGCGGCGGCGCUCGGGGAGGGUUGGGCCAGGCAAGGGCGGGACUAGCCCACGGCGGGCGGACGAGAGAGCUGCGAGCUAACGGGUCCGGACGACGGCGGCGGCGGCGGCGACGCCUUUCUGCGCGGGCGGCGGCGGCGGCCGGAGCGGCGAGCAUGGCCCGCGCCGCGCCGGGCGCUGACUGAGGGUCGUGCUGCGGCAGCCUGGCGCCCGACAUGUGAAGGGGAACCUGCCAGGGGAUUACUGUGAGCUAACAGCAGGAUAGGCUGGCCCCGGGGGAGUGGGGAUGGGCAGAACCCGGGCCAGGAGUAUUAGGAAGGAGACCUGGACCCUGGUGGGGAGCUCAGCACAAGCUCGCCUGACCCAGAUGGUAUUGGACACAGUGCCCCGCUGAACAGCAGCUGUUCCCAGCGCCAGAGGACCCCACAGUCACAGUAGGAGCUUUGCGACCCCUACGCAACUGCAGCUGGGGCUGGGGCCACCAGGAGAAGGGACCAGCACCUCAGAUGGGAAGCAGAAGGGCAAGACCUACUGCGGAAAGGAUCUCGAUCUCUGCAGCGGAGUUUUCCCACACUCACAGAGCUUCCUGUUUUUGUCCUCUCAGGGUUGGGGUCUGGCUCCCCUCCUCUGGCAGAGGUUUUGGGCCAGGAGGUGGGACAACGCUUGCAUGGAACCCAAGUCCCCUGAAGUCCAUGUGCUCUCUGUUGUGAUUGGAGUUCUAGGGCUUCCCCGCUGCCGGGAACGAGGGGCCGCCUCAUUGUCUGCUCAUGAACCACAAGGACCCCGACUGCUCCAGACUGG
rnacentral:sRNA from 1 species